rnacentral:rRNA from 1 species
GAUGAACGCUGGCGGCGUGCCUAAUACAUGCAAGUCGAGCGAACGGACGAGAAGCUUGCUUUUCUGAUGUUAGCGGCGGACGGGUGAGUAACACGUGGAUAACCUACCUAUAAGACUGGGAUAACUUCGGGAAACCGGAGCUAAUACCGGCUAAUAUUUUGAACCGCAUGGUUCAAAAGUGCAUGACGGUCUUGCUGUCACUUAUAGAUGGAUCCGCGCUGCAUUAGCUAGUUGGUAAGGUAACGGCUUACCAAGGCAACGAUGCGUAGCCGAGCUGAGAGGGUGAUCAGCCACACUGGAACUGAGACACGGUCCAGACUCCUACGGGAGGCAGCAGUAGGGAAUAUUCCACAAUGGGCGAAAGCCUGACGGAGCAACGCCGCGUGAGUGAUGAAGGUCUUCGGAUCGUAAAACUCUGUUAUUAGGGAAGAACAUAUGUGUAAGUAACUGUGCACAUCUUGACGGUACCUAAUCAGAAAGCCACGGCUAACUACGUG